UUGUGACUAGAACAACUUGACACACAGUGCUCAUCUCAAAUUAAUCUUCAGGUUCCCAGCUUUCAGAUGAUGAACACCACUUCUAUGUGACAUCUACUGUUGACCUGCUGUCUCCCCCUGAAGACCUCCU